UUGACCCCGUAACGACUGACCCGAAAGGGGAGGCGCGCUUUACCCCAAGCGCGCAAUACGCCGGGCCUCAUCCGGAGAAGGCGCCUAUGGAGGCUUCCUUCAUAAAGAAAAGGGGAAGCACGAUGGAGAGACUGCAUCCGUGGUACGUAACGGGACUUGUGGAGGGAGAGGGCUCAUUCGUGGUGAGCUUCUCCCUGCGACGGAGACUGAAGGUUGGGGUGGAGACCCGCCCUUCCUUCUCCGUCUCCCAAACUGAGGGCAACCUGGAGCUCCUGAAGCGGCUGCACCGCUACUUCCGGUGCGGCGGCAUCCGCUAUUCCCGGGGGGAUCGGACCUACAAAUACGAGGUGCGGUCCAUCGACGACCUGGUGAGGCGGAUCCUGCCGCACUUCGAGCGGUACCCGCUCCAGGGAGAGAAGGCCCAGGACUUCAGCAAGUUCGCGCGGAUCUGCAGGAUGGUGCACGCCAACCUCCAUCUCAAUCGUGACCGAUUGCGGGAAAUCAUCGAGCUGUCUUACUCGAUGAACCCUGCUGGGAAGCGAAGGCACAAGAAGGAAGUGCUCCUAAGGGCGCUGGGUGAGGAUAAGGGAUAGUCUGCCUCCCGUGGAAACACGGGGAAAGGUGAAGUUCCGACCCGCAUGAAAGGUCCAACGACCUGGGCGCUGUCUUGACCGGAGGCUCGGUGAACUCGAGGCACGGGUGAAAACGCCCGUGACCCGCGGUGGGACAGAAAGACCCCGUGGAGCUUUACUGCAACCUGGUGUUGGGUCUUGGCAUCCGUUGUCUAGGAUAGGUGGGAGGCUGUGAAGCCCGGGCGCCAGCUCGGGUGGAGCCGCCCUUGGAAUACCACCCUUCGGCUGCUGAGGCUCUAACCGGAGGCCGUUAGCAGCGGUCUUGGGACAGCGCCAGGCGGGCAGUUUUGCUGGGGCGGCAGCCUCCUAAAAGGUAACGGAGGCGCACAAAGGUCCCCUCAGGCUGGUUAGCGAUCAGCCGUUGAGUGCAAGGGCAGAAGGGGGCUUGACUGCGAGGCCUACAAGCCGAGCAGAGGCGAAAGCCGGUCCUAGUGACCCACUGGCUCCGUGUGGAAGGGCCAGUGAUCAGCGGAUAAAAGUUACCCCGGGGAUAACAGGCUAGUCUCCCCCGAGAGUCCACAUCGACGGGGAGGAUCGGCACCUCGAUGUCGGCUCACCCCAUCCUGGGGCUGNACCAGGUCCCAAGGGUUGGGCUGUUCGCCCAUUAAAGGGGUUCAUGAGCUGGGUUCAGACCGUCGUGAGACAGGUCGGUCCCUAUCUACCGCGGGCGCAGGAGGCUUGAGGGGUUCCGCUCUCAGUACGAGAGGACCGGAGCGGCUGGGCCGCUGGUGUACCAGUUGUCCCGCCAGGGGCACCGCUGGGUAGCUAAGCCCAGACCGGAUAAGAGCUGAAGGCAUCUAAGCUCGAAGCCGGCCCCAAGAUGAGGCCUCCCCAUCAGGGCCCUCCGAGACUAGGAGGUUGAUAGGCCGCAGGUGGAAGCCCGGUAACGGGUGGAGCCGAGCGGUACUAAUAGCCCGAUCGACUUGCGU
rnacentral:rRNA from 1 species